UACGUAGGGGGCAAGCGUUGUCCGGAAUCAUUGGGCGUAAAGAGCGCGUAGGCGGCCCGAUAAGUCCGCUGUGAAAGUCAAGGGCUCAACCCUUGAAUGCCGGUGGAUACUGUCGGGCUAGAGUCCGGAAGAGGCGAGUGGAAUUCCUGGUGUAGUGGUGAAAUGCGCAGAUAUCAGGAGGAACACCAAUGGCGAAGGCAGCUCGCUGGGACGGUACUGACGCUGAGGCGCGAAAGCGUGGGGAGCGAACAGG
rnacentral:rRNA from 1 species